rnacentral:tRNA from 1 species
GAGGAGAGGUAUAAGCCGGCGAGAACUGCUAACUCUUGCAUCUGAGUAUAAAACCUCAGUCUCCUUA